AACCAUAGAAACCUGCGGAGUACCUGCGGAAGGAUCAUUACCGAGUUUACAACUCCCAAACCCAAUGUGAACGUUACCAAACUGUUGCCUCGGCGGGAUCUCUGCCCCGGGUGCGUCGCAGCCCCGGACCAAGGCGCCCGCCGGAGGACCAACCAAAACUCUUUUGUAUACCCCCUCGCGGGUUUUUUUAUAUCUGAGCCAUCUCGGCGCCUCUCGUAGGCGUUUCGAAAAUGAAUCAAA
rnacentral:misc_RNA from 1 species